rnacentral:tRNA from 1 species
GCCGAGAUAGCUCAGUAGGUAGAGCAGAGGACUGAAAAUCCUCGUGUCGGAGGUUCAAUUCCCUCUCUCGGCA